AGAAUAGUCUGUCAAUUUAAAAAAACUCAAUAACUUCUGUAUGAUGUAUAUCUCCCUAAUUGGGGCGUUACGACGUUCUAGAAACGUAGUAUGAAGGCGCAGAGGCGUUAGAACUAAAGU
rnacentral:sRNA from 12 species